rnacentral:ncRNA from 1 species
CAGCGUUGAUGUCACCAUGCAAGGACGUGAGCUGGUUUAGACGUCGGAGACAGUUAGUUUACCUACUAAUGACAAACGUGUGCGACAGCAUCCUGCGUAGUACGAGAGAACCGCAGGUACGGACCAAUGCACAUACUGUCGAGCGAACAGUGGUAUGACGCUACGUCCGUUGGAUUAUGCCUGAACGCCUCUAAGGUCGUAUCCGUGCUGGACUGCAAUGAUAAAUAAGCGGCAAUUUGCAUUGUAUGCCUUCUAAACCAUUUAAGUUUAUAAUUUAUUUAUAAACGACAAUGGAUGUGAUGCCAAUGUAAUUUGUAACAUAGUAAAUUAGGAGGAUCUUCGAUCACCUGAUGCCGCGCUAGUUACAUAUAAAAGCAUUAUUUAAUACAAUGACAAAGCCUAGAAUCAAUGUAAACGACUUUUGUAACAGGCAAGGUGUUGUAAGUGGUUGAGCAGCUGCCAUACUGCGAUCCACUGAAGCUUAUCCUUUGCUUGAUGAUUCGA